CAGUCGCCGCGGGAAUACGUAGGUCCCGAGCGUUGUCCGGAUUUAUUGGGCGUAAAGCGAGCGCAGGCGGUUAGAUAAGUCUGAAGUUAAAGGCUGUGGCUUAACCAUAGUACGCUUUGGAAACUGUUUAACUUGAGUGCAAGAGGGGAGAGUGGAAUUCCAUGUGUAGCGGUGAAAUGCGUAGAUAUAUGGAGGAACACCGGUGGCGAAAGCGGCUCUCUGGCUUGUAACUGACGUUGAGGCUCGAAAGCGUGGGGAGCAAACAGGAUUAGAUACCCAGGUAGUCCCUGUCUCUUAUACA
rnacentral:rRNA from 1 species